rnacentral:rRNA from 1 species
GAUGAACGCUGGCGGCGUGCCUAAUACAUGCAAGUCGAGCGAACGGACGAGAAGCUUGCUUCUCUGAUGUUAGCGGCGGACGGGUGAGUAACACGUGGAUAACCUACCUAUAAGACUGGGAUAACUUCGUGAAACCGGAGCUACUACCGGAUAAUAUUUUGAACCGCAUGGUUCAAAAGUGAAAGACGGUCUUCCUGUCACUUAUAGAUGGAUCCGCGCUGCAUUAGCUAGUUGGUAAGGUAACGGCUUACCAAGGCAACGAUGCAUAGCCGACCUGAGAGGGUGAUCGGCCACACUGGAACUGAGACACGGUCCAGACUCCUACGGGAGGCAGCAGUAGGGAAUCUUCCGCAAUGGGCGAAAGCCUGACGGAGCAACGCCGCGUGAGUGAUGAAGGUCUUCGGAUCGUAAAACUCUGUUAUUAGGGAAGAACAUAUGUGUAAGUAACUGUGCACAUCUUGACGGUACCUAAUCAGAAAGCCACGGCUAACUACGUG